GACGAACGCUGGCGGCGUGCUUAACACAUGCAAGUCGAACGGAAAGGCCCUGCUUUCGUGGGGUGCUCGAGUGGCGAACGGGUGAGUAACACGUGAGUAACCUGCCCUUGACUUUGGGAUAACUUCAGGAAACUGGGGCUAAUACCGGAUAGGAGCUCCUGCUGCAUGGUGGGGGUUGGAAAGUUUCGGCGGUUGGGGAUGGACGCGCGGCUUAUCAGCUUGUUGGUGGGGUAGUGGCUUACCAAGGCUUUGACGGGUAGCCGGCCUGAGAGGGUGACCGGCCACAUUGGGACUGAGAUACGACCCAGAGUCCUACGGGAGGCAGCAGUGGGGAAUAUUGCACAAUGGGCGGAAGCCUGAUGCAGCAACGCCGCGUGCGGGAUGACGGCCUUCGGGUUGUAAACCGCUUUCGCCUGUGACGAAGCGUGAGUGACGGUAAUGGGUAAAGAAGCACCGGCUAACUACGUG
rnacentral:rRNA from 1 species